GUGAGGAGGCUGGGCAUAGGGAGAGGGGGUGGAUAGAGCAGCCAUGGUGUGGACAUGGGCUGAACACUCACCUCUCUGUACCCUCCAG
rnacentral:miRNA from 1 species